GGGUCAGUAGGUUGGUCGUGCCACCGGUACGUACUGGUCUCACUGAUUCCUCCUUCCUGAAGAACCGUAAUGCCAUUAAUUUGGUGUUGCGGGGAAACAGGACUGUUACUUUGAAAAAAUUAGAGUGUUUAAAGCAAGCUAACGCUUGAAUACAUUAGCAUGGAAUAAUGAAAUAGGACGAUCGAUCCUAUUUUUUGGUUUCUAGGAUUGACGUA
rnacentral:rRNA from 1 species